rnacentral:rRNA from 1 species
UACGAAGGGGGCGAGCGUUUGUUCGGAAUUACUGGGCGUAAAGGGCGCGUAGGCGGCCCUCUUUGUCGCGUGUGAAAGCCCCGGGCUCAACCUGGGAACGGCGCGCGAAACGGGGGGGCUGGAGUUCGGGAGAGGAGCGUGGAAUUCCCAGUGUAGAGGUGAAAUUCGUAGAUAUUGGGAAGAACACCGGGUGGCGAAGGCGGCGCUCUGGACCGAGACUGACGCUGAGGCGCGGAAAGCGUGGGGAGCAAACAGG